rnacentral:rRNA from 1 species
AGGACGAACGCUGGCGGCGUGCUUAACACAUGCAAGUCGAGCGGAAAGGCCCUUCGGGGUACUCGAGCGGCGAACGGGUGAGUAACACGUGAGUAACCUGCCCCUAGCUCUGGGAUAGCUCCGGGAAACCGGGAUUAAUACCAGAUACGACCACUUUAGACAUCUGUCGUGGUGGAAAGGAUUCCGGCUAAGGAUGGGCUCGCGGCCUAUCAGCUAGUUGGUGGGGUAAUGGCCCACCAAGGCGACGACGGGUAGCCGGCCUGAGAGGGCGACCGGCCACACUGGGACUGAGACACGGCCCAGACUCCUACGGGAGGCAGCAGUGGGGAAUAUUGCGCAAUGGGCGAAAGCCUGACGCAGCGACGCCGCGUGGGGGAUGAAGGCCUUCGGGUUGUAAACCCUUUCAGCAGGGACGAAGCGAAAGUGACGGUACCUGCAGAAGAAGCGCCGGCUAACUACGCGCCAGCAGCCGC